rnacentral:rRNA from 1 species
GGCCCUUCGGGGUACACGAGUGGCGAACGGGUGAGUAACACGUGGGUGAUCUGCCCUGCACUUCGGGAUAAGCCCGGGAAACUGGGUCUAAUACCGGAUAGUACUGCGCGGUGCAUGCCGUGUGGUGGAAAGAUUUAUCGGUGCAGGAUGGGCCCGCGGCCUAUCAGCUUGUUGGUGGGGUAAUGGCCUACCAAGGCGACGACGGGUAGCCGGCCUGAGAGGGCGACCGGCCACACUGGGACUGAGACACGGCCCAGACUCCUACGGGAGGCAGCAGUGGGGAAUAUUGCACAAUGGGCGCAAGCCUGAUGCAGCGACGCCGCGUGAGGGAUGACGGCCUUCGGGUUGUAAACCUCUUUCAGCAGGGACGAAGCGCAAGUGACGGUACCUGCAGAAGAAGCACCGGCCAACUACGUGCCAGCAGCCGCGGUAAUACGUAGGGUGCAAGCGUUGUCCGGAAUUACUGGGCGUAAAGAGCUCGUAGGCGGUUUGUCGCGUCGUCUGUGAAAACCAGCAGCUCAACUGUUGGCUUGCAGGCGAUACGGGCAGACUUGAGUAUUUCAGGGGAGACUGGAAUUCCUGGUGUAGCGGUGAAAUGCGCAGAUAUCAGGAGGAACACCGGUGGCGAAGGCGGGUCUCUGGGAAAUAACUGACGCUGAGGAGCGAAAGCGUGGGUAGC